AGGACGAACGCUGGCGGCGUGCCUAACACAUGCAAGUCGAACGAGGAGAUUCCUUCGGGAUGAUCCUAGCGGCGGACGGGUGAGUAACACGUGGGCAACCUGCCUCAUAGAGAGGAAUAGCCUUCCGAAAGGGAGAUUAAUACCUCAUAACAUUGCAGUUUCGCAUGGAACAGCAAUUAAAGGAGUAAUCCGCUAUGAGAUGGGCCCGCGGCGCAUUAGCUAGUUGGUGAGGUAACGGCUCACCAAGGCGACGAUGCGUAGCCGACCUGAGAGGGUGAUCGGCCACAUUGGGACUGAGACACGGCCCAGACUCCUACGGGAGGCAGCAGUGGGGAAUAUUGCACAAUGGGGGAAACCCUGAUGCAAGCAACGCCGCGUGAGUGAUGACGGCCUUCGGGUUGUAAAGCUCUGUCUUCAGGGACGAUAAUGACGGUACCUGAGGAGGAAGCCACGGCUAACUACGUGCCAGCCGCUGC
rnacentral:rRNA from 1 species